ACAUAUAAGUUAUAUAUAAAAAAUACAAACGAAUAAAUAUAUUAUAUAUAUUAUAUAUAUAUAUAAUUAGUGCCAAACUCCAUUGUGCCAACGAAUGGGUUUGAACGAAUACUUGUGGAAAUUUUAAUGCUAGAAUAGUCAUACUCUGGAUGGAUGCAAGGUUUUUCUCUAUUCUUGUUGCUAGCAUGUUAGACUUGUUAUAUGUACAAUCCGUCUGGUUGUACGACCACUGAUAUAUAUCGGACAUGUGUGCAUUUCGUUGAGAUAUAUUUAUGCAACUAUUUAUUUCAUGUAUUUUUUCAAACGAUAAUAAAAAGUCUUAUCAACUUUCGUCCCGACCCUCUGUCGCCCCUAUUCGCUUCUCCCUUCCAUACACCUUCGUCCCACCUAUCUCCUCCUCCCGUCGCAACGCGUAGCCUUUCGAACUCCUCCGUCCGAGUUGAUAGGGAUAGAUUGCACAUUCGUCAUUAAACACGCUCUGUACUCGGACCAUCGAGCUGAAAAUUGUUCGAAAUGGAGGUGGAGUGGCCAUUUAAGGAAAUAUAGGAGUGGACGUCGGGUAACUCGAGAUAAUUUUUUUUUAUUUAAUCCGAUAGUAACGGAGAACACUACACCAAAAUACUUGUCGAUUACUAUUACGAAAUAAAUGACUCAAGCGUAAACAAACUCGGUUGCUUAUCUAUAAAAAUAAUAAAAUGGUCUGCGGCACUUUUAGUCCCCAUAAAAUGGGGUAGGGCCUCGAAAUUCCGCAGCCAGUUCCGGAUAGCCGUGAGCGGGACAGUAACAAACGUCAUCUAAAUCUUUCGGGGCUUGGGAUGUUUCGAGAUCGUGACAAAACCUUUUCAGAUCUUUGAAUCCUCCAUUAUCCACGAAGAAUUAAGAUUGGAAUGCAAGUCGGGCGAAAAUAAUUCCUGACUGGUGUUCGGACAUCGACCGGUACUAUGACUCAAACUGACUGACAGUUGUUUCCGUAAUUAUGGCGCCAAAAAUACGUCACACAGUAUGAGACUCCGGAUGGAGAUUAGCCACCCGAAGCCGAG
rnacentral:lncRNA from 1 species